UUCUAGCCUCCUCCGCAGGUAACUCUCUGGCAAAAAUUGGCAAAAGUAUUAUGAAUAACAGCGAAUUUAAAGUUAGGGAUUGGAAAGCGUAACCCUAUAAUAUUUACAUUUUUGCCAAUUUUUUUUAAUAUUUACAUUUUUGCCAAAGAGUUGUCUGCGGAGGAAGCUAAAG